GGUCCUGGCUGGCCGGUCCGCCUCACCGCGAGUACUGGUCCGGCUGGACCUUUCCUUCUGGGGAACCUCAUGGCCUUCACUGGCUGUGGGGGGAACCAGGACUUUUACUGUGAAAAAAUUAGAGUGUUCAAAGCAGGCCUUUGCUCGAAUACAUUAGCAUGGAAUAAUAGAAUAGGACGUGCGGUUCUAUUUUGUUGGUUUCUAGGACCGCCGUAAUGAUUAAUAGGGAUAGUCGGGGGCGUCAGUAUUCAGCUGUCAGAGGUGAAAUUCUUGGAUUUGCUGAAGACUAACUACUGCGAAAGCAUUCGCCAAGGAUGUUUUCAUUAAUCAGGGAACGAAAGUUAGGGGAUCGAAGACGAUCAGAUACCGUCGUAGUCUUAACCAUAAACUAUGCCGACUAGGGAUCGGGCGGUGUUUCUAUGAUGACCCGCUCGGCACCUUACGAGAAAUCAAAGUUUUUGGGUUCUGGGGGGAGUAUGGUCGCAAGGCUGAAACUUAAAGAAAUUGACGGAAGGGCACCACAAGGCGUGGAGCCUGCGGCUUAAUU
rnacentral:rRNA from 1 species